rnacentral:lncRNA from 1 species
UUAUAAUAAAUAUACAGAAUUGACUUGUUAAAUUAAUUAAUGUAUAACGUCUUACUAAUAACAUGCUAUAGCGUGUUAUAACACGCUAAUAACAUAUCUUUAAAACUACGCUAUUUUAUAUAAGGUGUUAUUUUUUUCAUUGCUUCUACUCAUAUCCAACUACUUGCAUGCAACCAUUCAACCUCGUGCCAACUACAUGCACGAACUAAUCUGCUAACACCGGCCCGAAACACUGACCACGGCUAAGGACUCGCCUGUGCACCGGCCUCCGGACUCGACCGACACGCACACGCUGAUCACCACAGUGGCGUGGCUUAUUCCUAACAUUCUCUACUAAGCCACGAUCUUGCAGUCGUCGGAGUUGUCGCAGCUUCCGUCGUUGUUGUCGUCGUCACAAUUGCGAUCUUGACAUGGUGCGCUGAUGCCGGUCACCACAAAGCCUGCUUCUUCGUCACUUGCGACAUACCCCGAGCUCCUUCUCCGCCGACAGCACACGUCUAACGUCCCUCGACGCCGUUUUAUGACGUCGCACCGCACCGCCGCGGCCUCCACGGCAACCCAACACCUCUAUGCUGCCACACCGCACGCAGCACCUCCGCGGUCGCCACGCUCGACGCAGACUUACUGCAAGCAGCCUCUGUGUCUGUCAUGGCAGCCUCAAUGCCGUGCACUUCUAUAGGUUGAUACAUGGUCCGGAGCUUUGCGGAGCCGCCGACGAACGUAGUCAUCGUCGGCAUGCCUCCGGCACGCCGAACCGCGUUCGAGACAAUCAAAUUCAUGAAACCAAUUGUUGGCAUAAACCCACCAACGAAGAACAAUGCGUAUCCCUCCGACGACAGGAACGCCGGACGGACCUCUCUAUCUCUCUCUCACUCGCUCGCUUAGACGAAGGUGGAAGAAGGAGCACACUGGACACAAGGUUUUUCUAAUUACAAACGUCUCACCGCACGAACGAUGCCACGCCACACAAACAGCACCCCGGCCGCACACACAGCCUCUUCUAUUUUCUACAGCUCAAACUGCUGGCUCGGCGAAUACCGGAGCGGCCAACCAAUACACCAGGGGGCUUUCUAUACCGGCUGCACAUACACGCACGGCCAAGUCACUCACCCUGAUCC